rnacentral:rRNA from 1 species
UACGUAGGGUGCGAGCGUUAUCCGGACUCAUUGGGCGUAAAGAGCUCGUAGGCGGUUCAGCAAGUCGGCUGUGAAAGUCCGAGGCUCAACCUCGGAAUUGCAGUCGAUACUGCUGUGACUCGAGUCCGGUAGAGGAGAACGGAAUUUCCGGUGUAGCGGUGAAAUGCGCAGAUAUCGGGAGGAACACCAGUAGCGAAGGCGGUUCUCUGGGCCGGCAGUGACGCUGAGGAGCGAAAGCGUGGGGAGCGAACAGG